GACGAACGCUGGCGGCGUGCCUAAUACAUGCAAGUAGAACGCUGAAGAGAGGAGCUUGCUCUUCUUGGAUGAGUUGCGAACGGGUGAGUAACGCGUAGGUAACCUGCCUGGUAGCGGGGGAUAACUAUUGGAAACGAUAGCUAAUACCGCAUAAAAUUGAUUAUUGCAUGAUAAUUAAUUGAAAGAUGCAAUUGCAUCACUACCAGAUGGACCUGCGUUGUAUUAGCUGGUUGGUGAGGUAACGGCUCACCAAGGCGACGAUACAUAGCCGACCUGAGAGGGUGAUCGGCCACACUGGGACUGAGACACGGCCCAGACUCCUACGGGAGGCAGCAGUAGGGAAUCUUCGGCAAUGGGGGGAACCCUGACCGAGCAACGCCGCGUGAGUGAAGAAGGUUUUCGGAUCGUAAAGCUCUGUUGUAAGAGAAGAACGGGUGUGAGAGUGGAAAGUUCACACUGUGACGUAUCUACCAGAAAGGACG
rnacentral:rRNA from 1 species